rnacentral:rRNA from 1 species
GACGAACGCUGGCGGCGUGCUUAACACAUGCAAGUCGAACGGAAAGGCCCUGCAUUUGUGGGGUGCUCGAGUGGCGAACGGGUGGGUAACACGUGAGUAACCUGCCCUUGACUGUGGGAUAACUUCAGGAAAAUGGGGCUAAUACCGGAUAGGAGCUCCUGAUGAAUGGAGGGGGUGGGAAAGUUUCGGCGGUUGGGGGUGGACUCGCGGCUGAUCAGCGUGUUGGGGGGGGAGAGGUUCACACAGAGUUGGACGGGUAGCCGGCCUGGGAGCGUGACCGCGCACAUUGGGCCUGCGAGACGGCCCAGACUCCUACGUGGGGCAGCAGUGGGGAAUAUUGCACAAUGGGCGGAAGUCUGAGGCGGCAACGUCGCGUGCGGGAUGACGGCCUUCGGGUGGUAAACCGCUUUCGCCUGUGACGAAGCGUGAGUGACGUUAAUGGGUAAAGAAGCACCGGCUAACUACGUG